rnacentral:lncRNA from 1 species
CCUGAGGCUGUCUCUGAGACCAGAAGGUAUAACCAGAGGGAAAUAUGGAUUUAAAUUCCAGGGCAUAAAAGAAAAGUGCAGCAUAUCCGAGAAGUAGCUGAAAAUGACUUUUUGUAAAUAUUUGAAGGACACUGUCUCAUAUCAAACCAUAUACAAUAAAAUUUUAAACGAGCCUGAGUUUUGUUUCUGUCUGUGCCCUGUGGAGCACAUGUGACUUCAAAGGCAACUCUGGAGGGUGCAGGGAGAAAAGAGCACGCUUUUAUUUCCACUUUUGGCACAAAUCCACCAAACUGUUUUUGAUGGCCAGGAAGCAAAACUUAUAUUCCCUCUCAAUUCAUUUUGCAUUUAGCAGGUCCACCUGUGUUUUUCUACAGGGAGCAUUUCUACCUCUUCAGUCUGUUACUUUGAAGCUUUAUUUUGCAGGAAAAAGGCAAGAGGAAUGCUGGCGAUUUCAAAUGAAGCCUCCAACAGCCCCAUUCACUAAGUGUUCUCUCUUCCCACCAUAAGGAGGGUCUUCAGAGUUCAAAACAGUUGUUUCUAAGACCAUCAAGACACGGCACAUCACUUUGAUAGAAGUCUUAAAUGUAGAUAGAAAUCAGCAUCUGGUUUCAUUUCAAAGUGUUGAGACCCUUAAGUAAUGAGUAAAUAUGGCUUCAACCCUAAUGCAGAUGAGAGCGUGUGUGUGUGUGUGUGUGUGUGUGUGUGUGGUGCACGCAUGUGAAACCCUGAGAUCCCAGUUAUCAUAGAAAUCAGAGAUGUUGAGCUUGUCCUCAGAGACACCAUCUCUCCCUCUCCAACGUGGGGCUGUUCAUUAUGUCUUGUUUCUCGGGAUUUCUUUCCUCGUCUGUCUUCACCUGCCUGGUCUCGUCACCCUUCCACACCUGCACUUCAGUGGAGACUGAUUGAGCUGUGUGGCUUUUAUUUCCUUUGGCCUGUUUAUUUCUGAUGAUUGUUUUUACUCUUUCCAAACCCUGGGCAUUCGCUUUCUUGUUUGCAACUUGGCUUCCGGGGUGGCUGGGCGGUAGGUCUGCUUAACUGGUUAAAGAGUGGUCCUAAGGAGCUGGAGCUGGUUUUAUUGCCUGACUGGACUUUUGACUGCUCAUGAAGAAAUGAUCACUCUGUAUGAACUUAUAACCUCUAUAAGAGAAAGAAAGACACAAGUCUGAUUAUUAUGGGUCACAAAAUAUUGUCAACUUUGAGGUCUUAGAUUUUUUUUUUAUUCCUGUAUUAAUUACUAAUAACUCAUCUAUCUUUUUCUUAUCUUAUGAUGUUGUCUUAAACCAUAUAGGACAGUGAUUAUAAUAUUAGUAACAAUUACAUCAAUAUGCUAAAAGCUUUAC